AUGGCCUCAGCAGCGUACCUCGAGACGGACGAGAACCUGGAGGCCCUCAUCAGCCGCAUCGAGCAGAAGUCCCGCAAGAUCGAGACCCUCCUCAAGCAGUCCAAGCCGGUGGAGGCCCUCAAGACGGCGCUCGAGGGGUCGCCCCUCAAGACCCGCGACGAGCGAUGCAAGUCGGCGAACUGGAUCGUGGUGCACCGCGCCAUGAUGGCGAUCAGGGACAUCGGCGGCAUGUUCAACUCACUGGACACCGAGUACUACGACAUCCUCAUGAAGUACCUGUACAGAGGUUUGUCCACUGGCGACCGGCCGACGUGCGACCAGUGCCUCAAAAUCCAUGAGAAGCUGACGGAGAGAGCUGGCUUAGGAUGCAUACUGCGGUCACUCGCCGACACUGUAAACACCGUGUGA
rnacentral:rRNA from 1 species